CAGGACAUGAAGAAUACAAUGAUACAAAAUAUAUUGUUUCCAUCCUUAAUAAACUGGGACUUUGUUGGAAGAGAAUGACUGAUAUGCAAUAUGCUGCCUGGAGGUGUAGCUGGCAUCUUUGCAAUCAGGAAAAAGGAAUCCAACACUCUUUGUAUGAUGAAUCAGAUAUAUAGAAAGAUCCCAAAUCACUAAAUUAUCACUGAAUAGUUCAACCACCUCCAGCAAG
rnacentral:lncRNA from 1 species